CGCACUGACACACCCUUUAAGUGGUCCCAGUUGUUGUAGAGAGCGUACAGUCCAGUCAGCACAAAGCCAGCAAAUCCUCCCCGUGCUGCCCCACGAAGUCCAGCUAAAGGCAAAGAGGGGAAAAAAAGUUACACUGAAAGCAAAAGUACUGAUGAGUUGCUUUUCCCCCUGUAGAAGGGUCCCAAUCCAAAACGUCAACUUUCCUGCUCCUCCAGCUCCACACUUAUCUCUGACUCCAGCAUCGGCAGUUUCUCUCUUACUGAUGAGUCACACUGCUUUCAACAGAACUCCAGUACAUUAUGUCAAUGAUUUCACAUGUAAGGAACCUGUUAUUAGAUCAACUGUCAAUACAGCUAGUGUGCUCAUUCCAGAUGAGGUAGACUGCCCACCCUACCUUCAGUAAAGAAAUCACUGCACUUUGCCAUAAUUCACCAAGGAUCUGCUUUUGGGCAGAGAAUGUCACUGGAGUAUCUCUUCUUCAGUGAGCAUCAAACAUAAAGAAUGGAUUUUUUUAAAAAAAUCUGCAUGUUUACAGAGUAAUUUGUCAAAUGCCAAACCUUAAUAAAAUUGUAUCCAGUGGGAAUGCCCAUGUUUACAAUAACUAAUGCUCCUAUUUCUUUCAAAAUUAGGGUUUGACACACCAGCUGGUCUUUUGUUCUACACAUGGUCUUUGCCUCUACAGCCUUGGUAAUAAUGAGUUCCAAAGAUUCAAUACCCUCUGGCUGAAGAAAUUCCUCAUCUCAGUUCUAAAGGUUGUCCCUUCACUAAGGCUGUGCCCUCAGAUCCUAGUUACUCCUACUAGUGGAAACAUCAUCUCUGCACCCACUCUCUCCAGGCCUCUCGGCACAACUCAUUCAAAUAACAUUAGAUUAUGCUGGAGAUAUAACAGAACCAUGAUGAACCAGAAAGCUUUAUCACAACCACCUGUUGGAAGGCAGCCCUACAAGGAACCUGAUUGAGAGCCUGAGGUAUGAAUCAAAAUUUCCCACUGGGUGCAUAUCCAUGUAAAUACUGCCCAUAUGGGACCCAAGAUCAAGUUCUGCCAGACUCCUUCACAUCUCAAUAAGUACCUCAUUCAAACAUGAAUGCUAUCAGAUUGCUCCUCAUGGGAAAGGAUCCUGCAAAACUAAUACAUUUCCUGGAAUUAAAAAGGUUCACUUCA